UUUCCGUAGGUGAACCUGCGGAAGGAUCAUCACUGAGUGUCGUGGGGCAGGGGCGCAAUGCCCCUGCUCCCGUAUAAACCCCGUGCGUCGCCGAGGGCCGCGUGCACUCGGCGGCGCACAUAUCACAAAACAGUCUAAUAAAAACUAUAUGUAAAUAAAACAACUUUCAACAAUGGAUCUCUUGGCUCUU
rnacentral:misc_RNA from 1 species